rnacentral:rRNA from 1 species
AUUGAACGCUGGCGGCAUGCCUUACACAUGCAAGUCGAACGGCAGCACGGGAGCAAUCCUGGUGGCGAGUGGCGAACGGGUGAGUAAUAUAUCGGAACGUGCCCAGUCGUGGGGGAUAACGUAGCGAAAGCUACGCUAAUACCGCAUACGAUCUACGGAUGAAAGCGGGGGAUCGCAAGACCUCGCGCGAUUGGAGCGGCCGAUAUCAGAUUAGGUAGUUGGUGAGGUAAAGGCUCACCAAGCCGACGAUCUGUAGCUGGUCUGAGAGGACGACCAGCCACACUGGGACUGAGACACGGCCCAGACUCCUACGGGAGGCAGCAGUGGGAAUUUUGGACAAUGGGCGCAAGCCUGAUCCAGCAAUGCCGCGUGCAGGAU